CCUCACGCUGGCGGCAUGCCUAACACAUGCAAGUCGAACGAGACCUUCGGGUCUAGUGGCGCACGGGUGCGUAACGCGUGGGAACCUGCCCUUAGGUUCGGAAUAACUCCCCGAAAGGGGUGCUAAUACCGGAUAAUGUCUUCGGACCAAAGAUUUAUCGCCUUUGGAUGGGCCCGCGUUGGAUUAGCUAGUUGGUAGGGUAAAAGCCUACCAAGGCGACGAUCCAUAGCUGGUCUGAGAGGAUGAUCAGCCACACUGGGACUGAGACACGGCCCAGACUCCUACGGGAGGCAGCAGUGGGGAAUAUUGGACAAUGGGCGAAAGCCUGAUCCAGCAAUGCCGCGUGAGUGAUGAAGGCCUUAGGGUUGUAAAGCUCUUUUACCCGGGAUGAUAAUGACAGUACCGGGAGAAUAAGCUCCGGCUAACUCCGUG
rnacentral:rRNA from 1 species